UUUUUGCUUCCUUGGGUCGUGCUGAGUGAUGAGGAGCAUUGUUAGGCACGAGCAAAGCUGACCGUUGUUGCUGUUGCCACUGCUGAAAUGCUCCUCCCAGCAGCUCAGUCUGCUCACAUGCACUGUUUGGUCUGCAGAAACAUCCAACAAACGUGAGUGAAUAUGAAUGGGUGCCAUUUGCUCUGCAUGGAGGACUUAAGUGCUCAUUUCCGUGUCGGAUGCUGUUUUGUCAGUCUGCCCCUCUGCUGCUGUCUGUCACGUGGCAACCAAACGUGAUGGAAUACUGGUGGGAAGGUUCUGCUUCUACUGCUAUGCUACCAACAUCUGCCUCUGAACAUGUGGGCCAGCU
rnacentral:lncRNA from 1 species